CGCAGCCGCGGUAAUUCCAGCUCCAAUAGCGUAUAUUAAAGUUGUUGCAGUUAAAAAGCUCGUAGUUGAAUUUCGGGAUCAAUUAAUUGGUCGUGCCUCUGGUACGUACUGAUUUUAUUGGUUUCUCCCUUCUGAAGAACCAUGAUGUCAUUAAUUUGGUGUCGUGGAGAAUCAGGACUGUUACUUUGAAAAAAUUAGAGUGUUUAAAGCAAGCUAACGCUUGAAUACAUUAGCAUGGAAUAAUGAAAUAGGACGUUUGAUCCUAUUUUGUUGGUUUCUAGGAUCGACGUAAUGAUUAAUAGGGAUAGUUGGGGGCAUUAGUAUUCAAUUGUCAGAGGUGAAAUUCUUGGAUUUAUUGAAGACUAACUACUGCGAAAGCAUUUGCCAAGGAUGUUUUCAUUAAUCAAGACGAAAGUUAGGGGAUCGAAGACGAUCAGAUACCGUCGUAGUCUUAACCAUAAACUAUGCCGACUAGGGAUCGGAUGAUGUUAAUUUUUUAAUGUACUCGUUUGGCACCUUA
rnacentral:rRNA from 1 species